AAGUUGACCUUUUUAUGUAUAUAUACAUUACAGCCUGGUCCUCUUUUUCAGUGUAGUGCUGUAUCCCAGACAGACAGCAGUACGGGAUGUUGGCACUCAUCAGUGACUCAGUGUCUGCAGGAUGACGGUGCCAACCUGGAGCCAACGGAGAGUGCUAAUGGUGUCUGUUUGGACUCAAAUGCAAGGCUCUGGGAAAUCAAACAACACAGACCAGUGACUGGUGUUUUCUCCGGCUGCCUACACAGAACAGGUUGUCCCAGGAGUCCCAGUGUUGCGGUUACUUGGUAAAUGUGAGAGCUCCCCCUACUGGCGAGAUGUGAUAUCACCACGUAUCCACCACGAUAUCAUCAGACCAAGAACCAGCUCACCUGUGCUCAGCUGAAGCAGGAAUUUGUGGCUAAUCAUCAACCCAGUGUGGUUGAGGACCACACGUCUGCUGAUGCACACAGAUCAUAUGAGCGACCGCAGCAGCCUCCGAGCAGCCCGCUGCUAAAUCCACCCAGAGCCACCAGCGUGUGCGAGACAAAGUGCGUCUGUGUCGAACUCCAUGAAAUAAACAGCGUCACAGCUAUCGAAUCCAUGCGAGCUGUUCAAAUUAGCAACUGAUUUGUCAGUAAGAAGAAAAGGAGAAGAAGCGGUGAUCUGUGAACCCGUGCGGGGGUUUGCUUCCAGUGUUUCACGCUGCAGAAGAGAUGUCACAUACUGGUGUGCGGACGGUUCAUUCAUGCAAAGCCUGGUUUCAGAGCGUCAGCUGAUUGGAGAAACCCUAAAAAUAAGGUCCAUGUACUGUAAGUCGGACAACAAAGAGGAUAUUCACGGUAAAGUACAGUGACACGAAAAAAAUGAGUAAUGAGUGCAGUUGACAGUCACAACAGCCACCUCCAUAUAUCAAAAGGUUACUUAUUGUGUCCAAAGCAUAUUGUUAUUAAAUCAUCUCAUGUGGCGCUAUACUGUCUAAAGUAUAAUUCAUUAAAAAAGAAAACUACAGGAUCUUUACAGAGAGGCCUCAGUGGAAAGCCUAAAAACAAAUCUUCAUCCCGUUUAUAAACUCUCUUCUUCCUCUCGUGUCAAACAGCGCUGCCAUUUUAUCCAGUUAUUAAUAUAGUUGAUUUUAUUAUUUACUUUGGAUUCAGAAAUGGCUAUAGAUCUACUCUAAGUCAGGGGUGUCAGACUUAUUUUACUUAUAUAUAGUCCAAUUUG